rnacentral:tRNA from 1 species
CAGAAAAUAGUUUUAUAAUAAAAUAUUAAUUUUGGAGAUUAAUGAAAGGAAAUAACUUCUUUUUUCUGA